UGUACGAACAGUUCGCUGCUAGCUACAAUGAUAAAUAACGUUAGUGACUACAGUAAGCUACGUUUUCUCGUCUGGCUCUUCGUUAGUAGCUCAGACUUUGUUUAAAUUAACGCGAAAUAAACCGGGUUUGCGAGUCUUUUCGGCGAAGCAGCGUAGCACCGGAGCUAGCUAGUUAAUCUUUAAGUUACCGAUAGCUAAUGCACACGAGACAGUGACUUUAACGGACAACGGUGAAUCAGCGUGCUAGCUAGAAAGACAAAUCUUGAAAGCCUCAACACCCACCACGCAACAUUCAUUGAUGUUAACGUCCAUAAUUGUGUGUGUAUCGCUUUCGGACGUCGCCAGUGUUAUAUUUUCUGCUGGGUUUCCAUCUACCAAGAUGUAUGGGAUGUCGGGAUGACAGGAAGAUGGCAAACGGGGUUGGAAAACACAAGCUGCUUGUCAUUGGACCAACAGAGCCAUGGUCAGUGAGGGAGAAGCUGUGUUUGGCCACAUCUGUCAUGAAGAGUGGAGACCAGAACUGGGUUUCUGUCAGUCGAGCCAUCAAACCGUUUGCAGAACCUGGGCGACCACCUGACUGGUUCUCUCAAAAGCACUGUGCUUCCAAGUACUCUGAGCUCCUGGAAACAACAGAGGCCCCAAAGCGGAAGCGUGGCGAGAAAGGUGAAGUGGUGGAGACCGUGGAGGAUGUGAUAGUACGCAGGCUGACAGCUGACAGGAUUGAAGAACUGAAAAGGUUCAUCAAAGAAACACAGGAGAAGCACAGGAAGCUGAAAAGAGAGGCUGAACUGAUUCAAGCAGGACAUCUAGACUCCAAAUUAAAAGAGAUAUGGGAAGAAAUUCUGCAAAAGAAGAAACAAGAGGAGGAAGAAGCAGAGCUGAAAAGAAAAACCACAAAUGCUGCUUAUCAGGCCAGACAGGCGGCAAAGAAUGCACCUAAGCGAGUGCCUGGCAUCACCAUGCAUUCACCCUCAGGCUGUAGCUCCCCAAGCCCGGAGUUCUCACCAGGUGACCCACUCGAGUGCUUGACACUGGAUCUUGCAUCGACCAAGAAUGCUUCGGGAUCAGCCAGAUUAAUGACAAUUGCUGAGUCCUCUGGAUCCAGUAAUGAUGACAUCAGCCACGGAUCACUUCUGGAUGACCCCACCCAAAAGAAGCUCCUGAGCCAGAAAGCUACACCCCCACCUUCUCCCCUCCUGUCAGAGUUACUGAAGAAAGGCAGUAUCUUGGCCUCGAAUUCCAGACUGAUUGGGGACGGUGAGCACACAGAGCAUGGUACAGGAGCACAUGACUUGCAGCUGGCUCCACCUAGUCAACCUCUCUCUCAAGCAUCAGGUGCCCCGAUGUUGUCUCGUCUCCUUGAGGCAGGUCCCAGCCAGUUUUCUGCCCCGUUAGGUUUCAUGGUCAGUGCAGACCCAGCCUCCAGUGCUCCCCUCUCUACUGCCACUCCUGUGCCUGUUGACUCUGCUGCCUCAGCAAGUAAAGAGGUGGAUGUGAUGGUGCCGUCUUUAACCCCAGGAUGCCAGCCUAUUUCUGCAGAGGAUAAGGUGUCAGAGCUCAGUGAGGAGGAUGUGACUGUGUCCUACAUGGGGGAUGAGCUGGACCUAAAGACAGUGGGGGAUAUUAUUGCUAUCAUUGAGGACAAGGCAGAUGAGACUGCAGAGGCUUUGGAUGCUGCUGCAGUUGAGGCUGCGCUGUCACUGUGUGAGGAGAAUGGCCAUGCUUUGUCUGGUGCCUGGGAGGCUGGGCCUUUCCAGCCCCAUGAGUCUCACCCUGCGGUGCCCAUAGGGGUCCCGGAGUCCUCGUCUCUUUACAGUAGCCUGGAGGGGAAGACAGAAGUGUUAGAAGUCCAGGGUGGGACUUCAGCUUCACUCUCCUCUCUGUGCAGCAGCCAAGAUAACGGCCUGGCAGCAUUCCCCAUGGGACUAAGGGGCCUUCCUCCCACCUCCUCAUCCUCAUGCAGCUCAAAGAGUUUGGAGCACUGCCACACUGGAGCACCUCCACAGCCUGAGGCAAUGAGAGAGACUGGAGGGUUGGCGCACCAGAAAAGCCAAAUUUCAUUGGAUGUUACUAAAAAAAGUGAGAGUGAGAAGUGGGCACAGCGAAGACCUGAAAAACCCCAUAGAGACUCAGUAUUAGAAGAUAGCCCACUGACAGAAAGGCACCCCAAGGAGAUGAAAGAAGUGGAGGAUGGAAUAAGCAUUGUGGGAAGAGAGAAUGCCUCAGGGACUAAAAUAUACAAUGAGCUUAAUGGGCCAGAAGUGUGUGGAGACGAAGAGGUUGAUGGGGCAGAGGGAUUCUUGUCAGAGCCAGACGGCGAGACGGAGCUAGAACCCGCAGCCAGCGAGAGUGAGGACGGAUACAGCCUACACACGGCGUCCUCGUCUCUGCAGCUCCACACAACCGCAGACUCCAUCCCCAGCAGCCCUGCCUCAUCACAGUUUUCUAUGUGCAGUGAGGACCUGGAAGCUCUACAGGCUCACAAGAUCUGGAAGAAAGCCAUCAUGCUGGUGUGGCGUGCAGCGGCCAAUCACAGGUAUGCAAAUGUCUUCCUGCAGCCAGUAACAGAUGAAAUUGCACCUGGAUACCACAGUAUUGUGCAGAGGCCCAUGGACCUGGCUGCCAUAAAAAAGAACAUUGAGACUGGCUUGAUACGGACCACCGCUGAGUUCCAGAGGGACAUCAUGCUGAUGUUUCAGAACGCAGUCAUGUACAACAGCCUGGAUCAUGACGUGUACCACAUGGCUCUGGAGAUGCAGCGUGAUGUCCUGGAGCAGAUCCAGCAGUUUCUGGCCACCCAGCUCAUCAUGGAGACAUCAGAGUCUGGUAUCAGCGCCAAGAGCCUGAGGGGCCGUGAGAGCACACGCAAACAGGACUCUACUGACAAGGUGCUUCACUAGAAUUUUGACAAAAGCAGAGAGUACAGAAGAAGAGACAAGGGACACUGUCUCCAUGUCCUCUCCUGCCUUCCUUCUUUCUCUUUUUGAUGGAGGCACCAGAGGGCGCCGUUGUGCCAUAGAAGCUGACCUCAAGAUGAAGAAAUGAACAUAGACAAUGAAAGUGUUACCCAACAGUGUCCCCGAGUUGAAGUGAAAGGUGUGAUACCACAAGACUGAAAUUAUUCUCUGUCAGUUGCACAGAUUUUCACUCUGCAUAAAAUGCAGUGUUACCUUUAUUUGCACUCUAGAUUAAAUGGGUAGACUGUAACAUGGAGAGGCUCAUUUCCUAUGAGACAGCCAUACAGACAUGGAUUACAUACUGUAUAAUCCCAGAUUACAAAGGGGCAUUCAGAAAGACUAGGUCAAACCUCUCAUAGACGUAGCUGCAGAGCACUUAGACUUAGCCUGCUCUGAAUUACAUCAGGCUGUGUUAACGAAGAUAUAAGUUACUCCUUGCCUACAAAUUGGCUGAAUUUAAGCCGUCAUGGGGCCCGGUUGAAUUUCAGAUUAGUGUGGUUGAUUUUGAGAAAUGUUGGUGACAAUAUGUGAAAUCAGAGGCCAAAGAGUUUGAUUAACCUGGAAUUUCUGAAUGAUCAGGGGGGCACACACUAAUUUCAAACAAACAUUUUCAUUGCUGGUAUGACAUUAUCUGAGUUAUCGUUUUUUUAGUUUUCUAAUUUUAAAAGUAUUCAGAUCAUUUUUAAAUAUGGCUGUUUGUGAUGAAUUGAUUUUAUCUAGGCUACACUUCCUGUGAAACUGUUCUGACAUGCAUACUCUAAGUCAUUUUCGGUAUUUUUGAGAAAACAUCAACGUUAUGAAACUGUUUUGUGGACUUUAAAAUGUUUAAACAAUAAAACUUCAUAAAGAGCCCUCAC